GUGAGUGGAUUUUCGAAAAAAGGGAAAAAAUGCUAUUCAGAUUUUGAGAUUUAUGGCAGCAAGACUUGCCUCAUCCACGUAUAGUAAUGAUCCCCCGAAACAAGCUUGUUUAAAAAGGUGUGCGAUGGAAUUUCGGAGUUUUCAAAAAUUCGAUAAAAAUAACAAUUUCGAAUUUCCAUUAGCGGAGAUCCGACACAGUGUCGUCGUGAUAUUUGAUGUUUUUUGUCGCAGUGGAGAAAGCUCUCGCGCGGGGUGGGAUGCCAGUAAAUCGUGAGAUCAGUGUUUUCAAAGUCUUUCCAAAAAAGUCUUGUUUUCAAAGUUUUCAGUGUUUACAGUGAGAAAAUCGCGAUAAAAAUCGGAAUUUUCGAAAUCACUUGUACCAAGUGCAAAAAAAUCAUAAAAAUGAAACUUAUAAAAAGUGGAACAAAGAAGACGAAACUAAGAAAACUAUGAACGAUUCCUCCUCUCGUUCCAACAGUGCUUAUUGACCCAUGACGAUUUCAUAAAUAAAAUUGAAACCUGCUUUUAAAAAUUCAAUGACGUUUGAAAAAAGCUUCAAUUGAGCUAUAAAAAAUGUUAUUCGAAUGACACAGUGAGUGAAAAAUGUUCGAUAUCAAUUUCGAGAUGCAACGAUUGCGAACCGAAAUAUCCUAGUCGAAUUUGCCGUUCUGCAGCAGCAGCAGAUUUUUGUUCCACAACGAGGAUUUACAACACGUAAUCAUUCAACCGACAAUUGAUGAAACUCGACGCACAAUUUUAACAGCGAAUAUUAUUAUAAUAUUUUCGAAAUAAAUAAACACUUGGCAAUUUUCCGUUACGGACAAAUAAAUAUAAAUUUUUCUAUUUCCAUCA